GGAUGAGUGAAGGAACUACAAGUUCCAUGGUGCCGCGCGGAAGCGGGCGCUUGGCUACCUGGGAGCGUUGUGUUAGGGGUGUUGAGGGGGACCGAGAGUGCUGCUGGAGCUGGGGAAGAAGAGCAGGGGAGUCCGGACAGUUAGAAGAAGGGUGACCUGAGGGAAAUGAUGAGAAUUGGAGGGGGAGAUAAAACAGAACACUACCAUUUUGGCUCCGUUCAACCUCCGUGGAAGUUGUGGUGGCAAACAUAAGAAAAUCAGGUCAUCGGUGGGUGCAUGCAGCGAGGGCCGGGCGGAGCAAAAAUGUAGAAAAGGCCUAUCAGAAGACAGUCUCUUGUGCAGUUCCUCGUUAGUAUAGUGGUAAGCCUGAUUGCAAGCUUUGUUGGACCUGUUUCUUUCUGACUCAGAGAUUCCAGCUCAGCUUCCAUUUUUCCCACUAAGUAGGCAGUGACAUUUCAUCACAGCAGCUCAGUACAAACAACAGAGCGGUCCUCAAAAGAUUCAAAAGUAAUAGAAGACAGGAAUGGAGAAAGGAAGGAACAAAAGAAGGAAAGAUGGCAGAACAAAAAGGCACACCAUGGAAGCUGAGGGUGCUGCUUAUCUAAGCGGGCAUGGCUUCCCGGAACUUCUCAUCUCUCACUUCUUAAAUGUUUUCCUCUUUAUUUCAUUGAAUCAUUGAACUAGAAUAAUACAAUAUCAGAAAUCAA